AGAGUUUGAUCAUGGCUCAGGACGAACGCUGGCGGCGUGGAUUAGGCAUGCAAGUCGAACGCGAAAGGUAUCCUUCGGGAAACCGAGUAGAGUGGCGGACGGGUGAGUAACGCGUAGAUUAUCUACCUCUAAGUGGGGGACAGCCCAGGGAAACCUGGAUUAAUACCGCAUAAUAUCCUUCGGGAUUAAAGAUGGCCUCUAUUUAUAAGCUGUCGCUUAGAGAUGAGUCUGCGUCCUAUUAGCUAGUUGGUAAGGUAAUGGCUUACCAAGGCGAUGAUAGGUAGGCGGCCUUAACGGGUGGUCGCCCACACUGGGAUUGAGAUACGGCCCAGACUCCUACGGGAGGCAGCAGUCGAGAAUAGUCUACAAUGGACGAAAGUCUGAUAGUGCGACGCCGCGUGGAUGAAGAAGCAUUUCGGUGUGUAAAGUCCUUUUCUUUGUGAGCAAUGCUCUUAAUAUUAAUAGUAUUAAGAGAGAGAUAUUAGCAGAGGAAUAAGCUCCGGCUAACUCCGUGCCAGCAGCCGCGGUAACACGGGGGGAGCAAGCGUUGUCCGGAAUUACUAGGCGUAAAGGGUAAGUAGGCGGAAUUGUAAGUCAGAUGUUAAAGGCACCAGCUCAACUGGUGUACGGCAUUUGAUACUGCAAUUCUAGAGUAAGGUGGGGGGAAGACGGAAUUCCUGGUGUAGCGGUGGAAUGCGCAGAUAUCAGGAAGAACACCAGUGGCGAAGGCGGUCUUCUAUACCAUUACUGACGCUCAAUUACGAAGGCGUGGGUAUCGAACAGGAUUAGA
rnacentral:rRNA from 1 species